GNGCCCGUNCCGCCGCCCCCGCCCGACGGGGNGCAGCAGGCGCGAAAACUNGGCAAUGCGAGAAAUCGUGACCAGGGAACUCCAAGUGGNUGGGGUAAGACCCAGUCUUUUCUUGACUCUUNANCGGUCUUGGAAUAAGGGGUGGGUAAGGACGGUGCCAGCCGCCGCGGUAAUACCGGCGCCUCAAGUGGUAGUCGAUUUUAUUGGGCCUAAAACGUCCGUAGCCUGUUUGGUACAUUCGUGGGUAAAUCAACCAGCUCAACUGGUUGAAUUCUGCGAGCACGGCCAGACUUGGGACCGGGAGAGGUGUGGGGUACGCUCAGGGUAGGGGUAAAAUCCUGUCAUCCUGAGCGGACCACCUGUUGCGAAGGCGCCACACUAGAACGGAUCCGACGGUCAGGGACGAAGCCUAGGGGCACGAACCGGAUUAGAUACCCGGGUAGUCCUAGGUGUAAACGCUGUGGACUUGGUGUUGGGGACUCUCCGAGANUCCUCAGUGNCGAAGCGAAGGUGANGNUCNGNU
rnacentral:rRNA from 1 species